rnacentral:rRNA from 1 species
UACGGAGGAUGCGAGCGUUAUCCGGAUUUAUUGGGUUUAAAGGGUGCGUAGGCGGACGGUCAAGUCAGCGGUAAAAAUGCGGUGCUCAACGCCGUACAGCCGUUGAAACUGGCAGUCUUGAGUGGGCGAGAAGUAUGCGGAAUGCGUGGUGUAGCGGUGAAAUGCUUAGAUAUCAGGAGGAACAUCGGUGGCGUAAGCGCUUUACUGGGCCGUAAUUGACGCUGAGGAACGAAAGCCAGGGUAGCAAAUGGG